GACAACAUGGUGUAAUGGUUUGAAUGUUGGACUACAACUCUGAAGACCAAGGUUCAAAUCCCAGCUUGGCA